rnacentral:rRNA from 1 species
AUAAUCAUUUGGCCUAUAAUUGAGGUCUAGUAUGAAAGGUAGUACGGAUAAAAUCUGUCUCUUGAUAAUAACUUAAAUUUACUUAGAAGGUGCAAAUUCCUUCAUAAUUAAAAAAUAGACGAGAAGACCCUUAGAAUUUUGUGAAAAAAUAAAAAGUUGUUUUAUAACCAUUUUGUUGGGGCAACAAAGUUUGGCAAAUGUUAAUCAACUUAUGUAUAUUAACAACGUGACGAAAUAUGGUAAGCGUGAAAAAAUUACCUUAGGGAUAACAGCAUAAUUUAUAAAAGAUUGU